rnacentral:rRNA from 1 species
AUGAGUGAUCGUGCGUGGAUGUACACCGGUCACACUGGUCAGAACAAAUGGAGCACUGAAUGGUUCACAAAAACCAAGGGGUUUGUGCGAGCCGCAUUUGCAAAUGGCCAGAGGAAAACCUGGUGCCCCUGUUUACGGUGCGGCAAUUGGGAAAAGAGGACAGAGGCUGAAAUGGGCAAACACCUGCAGAAGAGUGGUUUUACGCCCGAUUAUACGGUGUGGACAUUUCAUGGUGAGUCUGCCCAACGUGACCGAGCUGAGGUGGAUCGUCGUCGCACCGACGAGCAUGGUACCGGGAUGGAAAACAUGGUGCAAGACUUCGAUGAUGCUCGGGAUUCGGACGAGGAGAUGGAGGAAUCUGCAAAGGCCUUCAAUGAAAUGUUGGAGUCUUCAAAACGUCCGCUCCAUGAGCACACUGAGCUUUGUCAGUUGGAUGCCAUCUCACAAGUAAUGGCUCUGAAGGCUCAGUUCAACUUGGGCAGAGAAUGCUACGAUGCAAUGAUGACAGUAUUUGGAUGCUUUCUACCCAAAGGCCAUGUAAUGCCUGCAAACAUGUACCAGUCGGACAAAAUCCUCCGUGCACUGAAGAUGCCCUAUGAUAAGAUACAUGCCUGUGAGAAAGGAUGUGUCUUGUUUAGGCUUGACUAUGCGAACUUGAACUAUUGUCCCAUUUGCAAGUCUUCCAGGUAUGUUGUGGUAGACAACGGUAUGGGUGAGAAGACACAGACCAAAAUCCCCGUUAGUGUUCUUCGGUAUAUGCCAAUCGUACCAAGACUUCAACGUCUUUUCAUGGUCGAAGAGACGGCUAGACAGAUGACAUGGCACAAAACGGGCAAAAGAACCGAACUAGAUGCAGAUGGGAAUCUGAUGAUUGUACACACAUCGGAUGGUGUUGCGUGGAAAAAGUUUGAUGAAUUACAUGGUGACAAAGCGGCAGAUCCGAGGCAUCCUCGAGUCGGCAUCAGCACGGAUGGGUUCAGUGUGUUUGGUAUGACGGCAGCCCAAUACAGUCGUUGGCCCGUAUUUGUCUUUCCACUCAAUCUCCCCCCCGGACCGAUUAUGCAAAGAAAGAACAUUUUCCUGACGUUGAUAAUUCCAGGGCCCAACUAUCCGGGGGAAAAUAUGAAUGUGUACAUGCAACCGCUUAAGGACGAAUUGCAAGAAGCCUGGGAUAAUGGGUUCAAGACAUACGACGCCUAUAGCAAACGGAACUUCAUAAUGCGUGUCUGGUACAUGUACUCGACGCAUGACUUGCCGGCGUAUGCGCUAUUCGUUGGCUGGUGUGUGCAUGGAAGGUUCCCGUGCCCCACAUGCAAGGGAGCUCUUGAGUUUCGUUGGCUUCAGGCCGGUCGCAAGUUUUCUUGCUUCGACAUGCAUAGACAGUUCCUGAAUCCUCACCAUAAGUUCACGAAAGACAAGAAGAACUUCAUCAGAGGUAGAGUUGUCAAAAACUCUGCACCACCUGCAUUGACAGGCCAACAGACCCUGGAUCAGUUAAACGCUCUCGAGCUAGAUCCAGAGCGUCCAGGGUACUUCAAGGGGUAUAAUUCUAAGCACGCCUGGACUCACAAAACAUGCUUAUGGGAUCUGCCUUACUUCAAAGACCUCCUUUGCCCACACAACAUCGACGUGAUGCACACUGAGAAGAAUAUCGCCGAGGCACUUUUUGGUACAUUGUUCGGCAUAGAUGGGAAGUCAAAGGAUAAUACUAAGGCUAGAGUCGAUCUGGAGGCGCUAUGUGAUAGGCCGUUACAAAACAUGAAAGAACCGAAAGGAAAGCAGAACUGGACAAAGCCAAAGGCAUGGUUCAAUCUUGGAAGGCCAUCUAUGAGGGAAAUUAUCUUGUGGGUGAAAAUGCAGUUGAUGUUCCCCGAUGGGUAUGCAGCGAAUCUACAGAGGGGAGCCAGUCUUGAUAAAUUGAAGAUAUUUGGUCUCAAGAGUCAUGAUUGGCACAUAUGGAUUGAGCGGGUAAUGCCGGUGAUGUUGCAUGGCUUCAUCCCUGAGGAUGAAUGGCUAGUACUGGCAGAACUCAGCUAUUUCUUCCGUGUUCUUUGUGCGAAAGAACUAUCGCCUGGCGUGCUAGAAGAAAUGGAAGAGUUGGCGCCGGAGUUGAUCUGCAAGUUAGAGAAGAUCUUUCCACCGGGCUUCUUUAAUCCAAUGCAACAUUUGAUUUUGCAUCUCCCGACCGAGGCAAGAUUGGGGGGGCCCGUGCAAAAUCGUUGGUGCUACCCAACUGAGAGGAUGCAGAAGACGCUUCGACAAAAAUGUAAAAAUAAACGUAGAAUUGAAGCAUCGAUGGCUGAGGCAUUCAUCACUGAGGAGGCGGCAAACUUCAUGACAGCACACUACGAAGCCAAAAAUCGUCAUUUGCAUAAUCCGAAGCCUCGGUACAAUGCUGACGACCCUAAAAAGGGUGGAUCCAACCUCAGCCUAUUCAAAGGGAAUCUCGCACCAGCCAGUGUUUCAAAUCCAGUAUCUUUGGAUAAUGAACAAUGGCGGACCAUUUCGUUGUAUAUCUUCAACAACUUGAUAGAAGUGCGGCCGUACAUCGAGUAA